rnacentral:rRNA from 1 species
AGAGUUUGAUCAUGGCUCAGAUUGAACGCUGGCGGUAUGCUUAACACAUGCAAGUCGAACGGUAGCAGGCCUUCGGGCGCUGACGAGUGGCGGACGGGUGGAGUAACGCGUAGGAAUCUGCCUCAUAGUGGGGGACAACGUGGGGAAACUCACGCUAAUACCGCAUACGCCCUACGGGGGAAAGCGGGGGAUCUUCGGACCUCGCGCUAUGAGAUGAGCCUGCGUUAGAUUAGCUAGUUGGUAGGGUAAAGGCCUACCAAGGCGACGAUCUAUAGCUGGUCUGAGAGGACGAUCAGCCACACUGGGACUGAGACACGGCCCAGACUCCUACGGGAGGCAGCAGUGGGGAAUAUUGGACAAUGGGCGCAAGCCUGAUCCAGCAAUACCGCGUGUGUGAAGAAGGCCUUAGGGUUGUAAAGCACUUUCAAUUGGGAGGAAAACCUGUCGGUCAAUACCCGGCAGCUUGACAUUAUCUUUAGAAGAAGCACCGGCUAACUCCGUG